GCGAGGAGCCCAUUGGGCACGACCGCACCAACCCUAGCUCCCGAUCCACAGCCACGCACUCCUCCCUCCUCCCUCUCACAGCCGCCACACCCCAUUCCUCUCUUCCUCCUCCCUCCUCCUUCCCGGAUCAGUGCCACCGCCACACGCACUCGUCUCCUCCUCUCUCUUCUAGCUAACUCCUCCUUCCUGAGCUCUGUGUCGGCCGCAGCGCGAGAGGAGCAGCGGCGGCAGAGAUGCUCCGAUGGCGGCGUCGAGUUGCGAAGCGGCGGCGCUCGGGCGCGAGACGACAGAAGCGGGAGCCGCUACUCCGGGCCCCGAUCUGGGGGGUUCGGUUCCAGGGCGCCGACGGCUUCUUUGUCUAUGAUGCGGGGGCGAGCUGGGGUUCGCCGUCACCACGGCCGACCACCUCCCGUCGCUAGGGCCCAUGACGGCGGCCGGGUCGGGCCAGGGCAGAAUAGUUGGAGGCCAUGAAGGGCACGGCUGCUGCUGGCGGAAGUAGCAGGGUUUGAAGGAGCGGCAGAUGUGGGCAGGGUUGCGGUUGGGGAAGGCUCGCCGGCUGGGGGACGGCCAUAUCAAGAGCUUGAGUGAAGGAGCCACGCUUGACAACUUGGCGUGAGCUACUUUGGUCCAGCGGCUACCAAUGUUCCUUUUUUACUUCAGAAUUAUAAAAUCAUGUUGCCUUUCUAGAAUAAGAUGGAGAAAGUUCCAAACAAUCUUUCAAGUUUUUCCAGAUUUGUCACACUCGAUGGAAACUGGAAGCACCACUCUCCUUGGCUGAAAUCACAGUGGUCAGAUUAUAGAUCACAAGCUGUAGACGAAUUGUUUCUUCUAAUUUCCCAAUCUUCAGGUUAUGGGUCAUUUCCCCUUUGCAAGAAUUAAUUUAUGUGGCUCCAUUUUUGUUAUACUAAAAAAAGAUAAAUGGAGUGAUAUUCUUAUACUAUAGAACUUCUAGAGUGAACAAAGAUAAAUGGAGUGAUAUUCUUAUACUACAAAGCCUCUUAUAUACUCCAUUUUGGUUAUGCUGGCCUCACUUAAUUGCUUUGCAGAUUGAACUGACCAAUCCGUAUGAUUGAGGAAUCCUUCUGGAGAAAAAGAAUUCAAGGAACUCCGCAGCUCCGAAUACAGAGGUGAGAAAUCGAAUCAAUCGAGCAGCGCUCUGGUGAUCUAUUCAUCUACAUGUUCUGAUAUGCAUGUAUUCCCUGUUUUUCCUCUGCUGGUUCAGCUUUGUUAAACUUAUAGUAGAUAUAAAAUACAUGUAUAUAUAUGCUUAGAACAAGCAAAAUUAGCACUCUCUAUCUUGAGUUGUCAGUUUGAUUUACAUACACAUGUCACUAGACUAUGCAUCAUCAAGCAGAAUGUUUAUGUGUGUUGCCAGUAACAAAUUGUAUCAAAUCUUGUGUUAAAACAAUGCUAUCAAAUUAACUUCCAACCAGGAUUUCAAGAAAAAAAUUGUGUGCUGGAGCAAGAAAGGGAACAUGGUAAGGAGUGUGCCUACAAGAGUUUCUCUGUUCUUAUUGGUUGCCAUAUGCAGCUUGCGGGUCUCGACUUAAUAAAUACAUCAACCGUGUACAGAAGGAAAAACCCAUUACAUGAAUUCUGAGUAGGUAUUUUCAGUCUUUCGCAAUGUAAUUUAUUUAUUUUUCUCUCAUAAUAUUGGAAAAUAUUUGGCAUGAAUGAAAUUGAUUUAAAUCUUGAAAGACUUCGAUUGAGACCCAUGUUUAUGUGUGUUGCCAGCCAACUGUUGAAACUGAAAGUAGAGACACAAUUCACAUAAUAAGUAACAACCUCCGAUUCAAGUUUAACAACCGCAGCUCCAUUCUAGAUUGAUGUUUAAGUUUUGAUGUGUCGCUCUCCAGAUUUCUGUCUGAUUCCCUUUUAUUUACCGCAAUCUGCAUUGUAAUGGCUAUAUAUAGAAUCACUAGAUUCAAGCCGAGUGAGGCAUCUACUUUGUUGUAAUUGGGCUUCCCUAGCAUCCAAUAUCAUGGUCCUAGCAACACUUUUCUCUGGGAGCAAUACAAACCAUGGGAGGCUCAUCUGAACCUUGAGUCGUUUCUCUGAAAUUUAUGAAUUUUGCUUGCUGAAACCUCUGAACAUUUCUGGAGUCUGUCACCUGAUUGAUUCUUCACUUGGCAAAGCAGCAAGAGGGACAUUAGCUGAUGCUAGAAUGAAAAGAAUUUGUACUGUACUUGGACUCGCCCUGAGCGCAUAUGGUCAGAUUUUACGUUAAAGCUGGUGAGGCAUUGGUGUUAGUUGCUAUUACCUGAGACCAGCUGCCAGGGAUACUUUCUUGAACCUUUGUUUUCCUGUCGCUGUAUUGUAGCAUAAAAAUCUAAAAUGGGUCCAUCUUUUCAUUACAGCUUAUGGUUUCCUUUGUUUUUCCCAAUAACUAAUGCAUUUGUUCAUUCUUAACGUUUCUUGCUUCUAUUUGUGCAGCUAUGCCAAUCUUUAUUAUUUUCUCCAUGAUACAGUUGCUUACCUGUAUGUUCUUAUGUUUAGUGGUAUUUAGUCUACCGUAUAUGUGUCAGGAAGAUGCGAGUACCAGGGUGUUACCCAGCUCAAGUUCUAGAGGAACAGGCGGUCUGUUACUGAAGAAAGAUAGUUUGAUAUGUCCGAGCGCCUCCCUUAGCAUGCUCUAGGUUUCAAUGAUGUACCUAUAACAAGACAGUCUUGCUAUCAAACAAAUAUUGCCUAUAUUUAUGACUGAUCAUGUAUAUAAAAAUAUGUUUGAUA